GGGUUGUGAGGUUAAGCGACUAAGCGUACACGGUGGAUGCCCUGGCAGUCAGAGGCGAUGAAGGACGUGCUAAUCUGCGAUAAGCGUCGGUGAGGUGAUAUGAACCGUUAUAACCGGCGAUUUCCGAAUGGGGAAACCCAGUGUGUUUCGACACACUAUCAUUAACUGAAUCCAUAGGUUAAUGAGGCGAACCGGGGGAACUGAAACAUCUAAGUACCCGAGGAAAAGAAAUCAACCGAGAUUCCCCCAGUAGCGGCGAGCGAACGGGGAGGAGCCCAGAGCCUGAAUCAGUGUGUGUGUUAGUGGAAGCGUCUGGAAAGGCGCGCGAUACAGGGUGACAGCCCCGUACACAAAAAUGCACAUACUGUGAGCUCGAUGAGUAGGGCGGGACACGUGGUAUCCUGUCUGAAUAUGGGGGGACCAUCCUCCAAGGCUAAAUACUCCUGACUGACCGAUAGUGAACCAGUACCGUGAGGGAAAGGCGAAAAGAACCCCGGCGAGGGGAGUGAAAAAGAACCUGAAACCGUGUACGUACAAGCAGUGGGAGCCUCUUAAUGGGGUGACUGCGUACCUUUUGUAUAAUGGGUCAGCGACUUAUAUUCUGUAGCAAGGUUAACCGAAUAGGGGAGCCGAAGGGAAACCGAGUCUUAACUGGGCGUUAAGUUGCAGGGUAUAGACCCGAAACCCGGUGAUCUAGCCAUGGGCAGGUUGAAGGUUGGGUAACACUAACUGGAGGACCGAACCGACUAAUGUUGAAAAAUUAGCGGAUGACUUGUGGCUGGGGGUGAAAGGCCAAUCAAACCGGGAGAUAGCUGGUUCUCCCCGAAAGCUAUUUAGGUAGCGCCUCGUGAAUUCAUCUCCGGGGGUAGAGCACUGUUUCGGCAAGGGGGUCAUCCCGACUUACCAACCCGAUGCAAACUGCGAAUACCGGAGAAUGUUAUCACGGGAGACACACGGCGGGUGCUAACGUCCGUCGUGAAGAGGGAAACAACCCAGACCGCCAGCUAAGGUCCCAAAGUCAUGGUUAAGUGGGAAACGAUGUGGGAAGGCCCAGACAGCCAGGAUGUUGGCUUAGAAGCAGCCAUCAUUUAAAGAAAGCGUAAUAGCUCACUGGUCGAGUCGGCCUGCGCGGAAGAUGUAACGGGGCUAAACCAUGCACCGAAGCUGCGGCAGCGACACUAUGUGUUGUUGGGUAGGGGAGCGUUCUGUAAGCCUGUGAAGGUGGCCUGUGAGGGUUGCUGGAGGUAUCAGAAGUGCGAAUGCUGACAUAAGUAACGAUAAAGCGGGUGAAAAGCCCGCUCGCCGGAAGACCAAGGGUUCCUGUCCAACGUUAAUCGGGGCAGGGUGAGUCGACCCCUAAGGCGAGGCCGAAAGGCGUAGUCGAUGGGAAACAGGUUAAUAUUCCUGUACUUGGUGUUACUGCGAAGGGGGGACGGAGAAGGCUAUGUUGGCCGGGCGACGGUUGUCCCGGUUUAAGCGUGUAGGCUGGUUUUCCAGGCAAAUCCGGAAAAUCAAGGCUGAGGCGUGAUGACGAGGCACUACGGUGCUGAAGCGACAAAUGCCCUGCUUCCAGGAAAAGCCUCUAAGCAUCAGGUAACAUCAAAUCGUACCCCAAACCGACACAGGUGGUCAGGUAGAGAAUACCAAGGCGCUUGAGAGAACUCGGGUGAAGGAACUAGGCAAAAUGGUGCCGUAACUUCGGGAGAAGGCACGCUGAUAUGUAGGUGAAGCGACUUGCUCGUGGAGCUGAAAUCAGUCGAAGAUACCAGCUGGCUGCAACUGUUUAUUAAAAACACAGCACUGUGCAAACACGAAAGUGGACGUAUACGGUGUGACGCCUGCCCGGUGCCGGAAGGUUAAUUGAUGGGGUUAGCGGUAACGCGAAGCUCUUGAUCGAAGCCCCGGUAAACGGCGGCCGUAACUAUAACGGUCCUAAGGUAGCGAAAUUCCUUGUCGGGUAAGUUCCGACCUGCACGAAUGGCGUAAUGAUGGCCAGGCUGUCUCCACCCGAGACUCAGUGAAAUUGAACUCGCUGUGAAGAUGCAGUGUACCCGCGGCAAGACGGAAAGACCCCGUGAACCUUUACUAUAGCUUGACACUGAACAUUGAGCCUUGAUGUGUAGGAUAGGUGGGAGGCUUUGAAGUGUGGACGCCAGUCUGCAUGGAGCCGACCUUGAAAUACCACCCUUUAAUGUUUGAUGUUCUAACGUGGGCCCCUUACCGGGGUUGCGGACAGUGUCUGGUGGGUAGUUUGACUGGGGCGGUCUCCUCCUAAAGAGUAACGGAGGAGCACGAAGGUUGGCUAAUCCUGGUCGGACAUCAGGAGGUUAGUGCAAUGGCAUAAGCCAGCUUGACUGCGAGCGUGACGGCGCGAGCAGGUGCGAAAGCAGGUCAUAGUGAUCCGGUGGUUCUGAAUGGAAGGGCCAUCGCUCAACGGAUAAAAGGUACUCCGGGGAUAACAGGCUGAUACCGCCCAAGAGUUCAUAUCGACGGCGGUGUUUGGCACCUCGAUGUCGGCUCAUCACAUCCUGGGGCUGAAGUAGGUCCCAAGGGUAUGGCUGUUCGCCAUUUAAAGUGGUACGCGAGCUGGGUUUAGAACGUCGUGAGACAGUUCGGUCCCUAUCUGCCGUGGGCGCUGGAGAACUGAGGGGGGCUGCUCCUAGUACGAGAGGACCGGAGUGGACGCAUCACUGGUGUUCGGGUUGUCAUGCCAAUGGCACUGCCCGGUAGCUAAAUGCGGAAGAGAUAAGUGCUGAAAGCAUCUAAGCACGAAACUUGCCCCGAGAUGAGUUCUCCCUGACUCCUUGAGAGUCCUGAAGGAACGUUGAAGACGACGACGUUGAUAGGCCGGGUGUGUAAGCGCAGCGAUGCGUUGAGCUAACCGGUACUAAUGAACCGUGAGGCUUAACCUUACAACGCCGAAG
rnacentral:rRNA from 1 species